rnacentral:rRNA from 1 species
GAUGAACGCUGACAGAAUGCUUAACACAUGCAAGUCAACUUGAACUUCGGUUUGGGUGGCGGACGGGUGAGUAACGCGUAAAGAACUUGCCUCACAGCUAGGGACAACAUUUGGAAACGAAUGCUAAUACCUGAUAUUAUGAUUUUAGGGCAUCCUAGAAUUAUGAAAGCUAUAUGCGCUGUGAGAGAGCUUUGCGUCCCAUUAGCUAGUUGGAGAGGUAACGGCUCACCAAGGCGAUGAUGGGUAGCCGGCCUGAGAGGGUGAACGGCCACAAGGGGACUGAGACACGGCCCUUACUCCUACGGGAGGCAGCAGUGGGGAAUAUUGGACAAUGGACCAAGAGUCUGAUCCAGCAAUUCUGUGUGAACGAUGAAGUUUUUCGGAAUGAAAAGUGCUUUCAGUUGGGAAGAAAAAAAUGACGGUACCAACAGAAGAAGUGACGGCUAAAUACGUG